rnacentral:tRNA from 1 species
GUAUUAGUGAUUUAGUGGUAGAAUUUUCACCUUCCAUGUGGAAGACCCAGGUUCAAUUUCUGACCAAUGCA